rnacentral:misc_RNA from 1 species
GAGAAGAACGUAGCGAAAUGCGAUACGUAAUGUGAAUUGCAGAAUUCAGUGAAUCAUCGAGUCUUUGAACGCACAUUGCGCCCCCUGGUAUUCCGGGGGGCAUGCCUGUCCGAGCGUCAUUGCUGCCCUCAAGCACGGCUUGUGUGUUGGGCCUCCGUCCUCCUCCCGGGGGACGGGCCCGAAAGGCAGCGGCGGCACCGCGUCCGGUCCUCGAGCGUAUGGGGCUUCGUCACCCGCUCUUGUAGGCCCGGCCGGCGCUUGCCGACACAUCAAUCUUUUUUCCAGGUUGACCUCGGAUCAGGUAGGGAUACCCGCUGAACUUAAGCAUAUCAAUAAGCGGAGGA